UACGUAGGGUGCGAGCGUUGUCCGGAAUUAUUGGGCGUAAAGAGCUUGUAGGCGGUUUGUCGCGUCUGCUGUGAAAAUCCGGGGCUCAACCCCGGACUUGCAGUGGGUACGGGCAGACUAGAGUGUGGUAGGGGAGACGUGGAAUUCCUGUGGUAGCGGUGAAAUGCGCAGAUAUCAGGAGGAACACCGAUGGCGAAGGCAGGUCUCUGGGCCACUACUGACGCUGAGAAGCGAAAGCAUGGGGAGCGAACAGGA
rnacentral:rRNA from 1 species